rnacentral:rRNA from 1 species
GGCCUACGGGACGCAGCAGUAGGGAAUCUUCCACAAUGGACGAAAGUCUGAUGGAGCAACGCCGCGUGAGUGAAGAAGGGUUUCGGCUCGUAAAGCUCUGUUGGUAGUGAAGAAAGAUAGAGGUAGUAACUGGCCUUUAUUUGACGGUAAUUACUUAGAAAGUCACGGCUAACUACGUGCCCGCCGCCGCGGUAAUACGUAGGUUGCCAGCGUUGUCCGGAUUUUUUGGGCGUAAAGCGCGUGCAGGCGGGUCC